ensembl:lncRNA
UGACUCUGGGGCUCAGGCCGGCCGAAGGGCGCCGCGCUCAGGUCCGGGCCCUCCUGACGCCUCGACACAGACACAAUGAGUCACAAAGGCCGGAAGUGUGUCAGCACCUCGCCUUCCGGGACUGCGCCGCGCUUCCGGGUCCUCUCUAGGAGGGUGGGAGGAUUCGACAUCUCGGUUUCCCCAAUGCUGGACGUGUCCACUGCCCUGCACAGGUGCAGUCUCCCGCGUUGGGGGUCCCCUCCCGCAGCCUGUGCGCCCCCAAGUUAGGGCUGGGGACGAAAGGAUAAACAGGCUGUCCAACUCACACCAGUCCAUCUGAUAAUUCGAUUUCUCCUUUUUCACCUCGGGCAGUCCUUGUAGUAAUUAGAGUUUUUAUCAAGCAAUAAUACUUAGUAACUGUAUGUUUGUGGCAGAGGAGCUGAAAGAACGAUGUACACUGCUGCUGCUGCUAAGUCACUUCAGUCGUGUCCGACUCUGUGCGACCCUAUAGACGGCAGCCCACCAGGCUCCCCCGUCCCUGGGAUUCUCCAGGUGCUUUCACAACCUACAACAAUUAUGGCCUUCACCUGGCAAGAUAAGGCAGAAGUAAUACUCUACCUGCUUAGCAAGAGCACCCACAGACUUUAAUGAUUGUGACUUUGCUCUAUAUUCCAAGGAAUUGGAGACAUUUGGGUUCUGAACAGCCUCACCAAGGUCCAAAAAAGACUAUCUCCAGACAUACACAAAAAUCUCAGAGUAUAUUGGGGAGCCCAAACUCAUACAGAUGAGGAAACUAACAAUAGUCCUC